rnacentral:lncRNA from 1 species
CUUGUGAAAUAUUAUCAUCUAGUGGGAAAACCGCAGUGAUUGUGCCUUCAAACGGGCAAUUUGAAAGGACAACCCCACCAAAAACCAUUAUAAUUGUAAAUUGAAAUGAUUGAUAUUACAAAUGUUUGUACCUAUGUAAUUGUACAUGUAAAGCUGAAAAUUCAGGCAUACCAUGGAAAAUUUGAAAAAAUUAAGCACCACAGACAUCAAACAACAGUGGGGAUAAUUU